rnacentral:rRNA from 1 species
ACACGACUACAUUAGAUACCCGGGUAGUCCUAGGCGUAAAUGAUGCGAGUUAAGUGUGGGGGCAUCUACGAGAUGGCCCUGUGCUGUAGGGUAGCCGUUAAACUCGCUGCCUGGGGAGUACGGUCGCAAGGCUGAAACUUAAAGGAAUUGGCGGGGGAGCACCACAACGGGUGGAGCUUGCGGUUUAAUUGGAUUCAACGCCGGAAAUCUUACCGGGACCGACAGCAACAUGAAGGCCAGGCUGAAGACUUUGCCGGAUUAGCUG